AUUGAACGCUGGCGGCAGGCCUAACACAUGCAAGUCGAGCGGAAGCACAGUACUUGCUUGCGCUUACGGCUGGCGACGGGCGGGCGAUGCCUAGGAACCUCCCUGUCUGUUGUGUAUAGCGUGAGGACGCGGGCGCACAUACGCCAUUAGCCCAUACGACCAACGGGGGGAAUCUUCGGAUCUUCCGCCAUUACGUGAUUCUAGGUCGGAUUAGCUAGUUGGUGGGGUAAAGGCCUACCAAGGCGACGAUCCGUAGCUGGUCUGAGAGGAUGAUCAGUCACACUGGAACUGAGACACGGUCCAGACUCCUACGGGAGGCAGCAGUGGGGAAUAUUGGACAAUGGGCGAAAGCCUGAUCCAGCCAUGCCGCGUGUGUGAAGAAGGUCUUCGGGUUGUAAAGCACUUUAAUUUGGGAGGAAGAGCAGUAAGUUAAUACCUUGCUGUUUUGACGGUACCAACAGAAUAAGCACCGGCUAACUUCGUG
rnacentral:rRNA from 1 species